GGGGGACAUGAUGGUGGCUCAGAUUACAGGGGCUACUCAGCAAGAAGUGGAAGGACUUCAGAGAGAUUUGGAGGCAAAACCCACAGGCUUACUGAUGAAUGGAACCGGUGGAGGUGUGUGAUGCGAUACUCAAAGGCAACCUGGUCAGGUGCACGAAGUCUAGGGUUCAGAAUCCAACAGGCUCAAAUUCAAGUCCAGCUCAGCCACAUGGCUGAGCGCUGUCUGAAUCUCAGCGUCCUCAGCUGUUAAACAGAGUGUCUCUCGAGAAUGAAAAUGACCAGGCCAUCCUCACAUUCUACAGAGGUUAACCCAGCAACUUAGGGACACAGCUGGGGCAGGACUCCCGGGCUCCUGGUCAGUCCCUCUAUGGGGAUGCUAAGCCUCAGGGCUGACAUCUCUUAGCUCUGCCUUCCAGGGAGAAUUUCACAGGGCCUCCCAUUUGUGCUGCUGUGAAGGCCGUCCUGCUCCUUAUCAAGCCUGUCUUCUCCGUGGCUUGAGGAAGAUCUCUUUCGUGCCCAAAUUGUGAAUAAGUAAACUGGAUGCAGCAUCUCUGAUUGCUCU
rnacentral:antisense_RNA from 1 species